rnacentral:lncRNA from 1 species
AUGGUACCCAGAUGGCAUCUCUUUCGACCUUCAGGGGGACUCAAUAAAGGGGAAGCUGUGAGCAGAAACAUAGAAGAUAAAAUUCUAAAGAAUAUGCUGUGGAAGGUGCAAGAGUGUGGAAGUCCGAAGACUCCAGUGUCGGUCUAUUUCUGUCACAUAUGACUUAUGUGGGUGUAGAGGUUAUUUAACUUUUCCACACCUCCUUAUUCUUAUCUAUAAAAUGAGUUUUGCUUAUAUAGAAUGGUAUGACAGUUACAUUUCACAGUGUCUGUGAAAGCUCUUUGGCUAUGAUUGCCAGUUCUGUGCCUAGUUAUUUUGAACGGCAGUGCCCCAAUUUGGCCACUACUAUAUUUUUGUUCUUUUUCUGUUCUAAUGAAUCUUCAGUUACUAUCCAUUUGUCUUAAGAUGAAGAAAUAGGAAAUUCUCAACCUAACAGUAGCAAGAAAUAGAAACUGACUCAUGCUAACUUACUAAAGCAAGGUAUAUUCUAAGAGUCCUGGAUAGUUUGUAAAACUUGAUAAGUAGAGCCCCACAA